AGUGAACGCUGGCGGUAGGCCUAACACAUGCAAGUCGAACGGCAGCACAGUAAGAGCUUGCUCUUACGGGUGGCGAGUGGCGGACGGGUGAGGAAUACAUCGGAAUCUACUUUUUCGUGGGGGAUAACGUAGGGAAACUUACGCUAAUACCGCAUACGACCUACGGGUGAAAGCAGGGGAUCUUCGGACCUUGCGCGAUUGAAUGAGCCGAUGUCGGAUUAGCUAGUUGGCGGGGUAAAGGCCCACCAAGGCGACGAUCCGUAGCUGGUCUGAGAGGAUGAUCAGCGACAUUGGAACUGAGACACGGUCCAGACUCCUACGGGAGGCAGCAGUGGGGAAUAUUGGACAAUGGGGGCAAGCCUGAUCCAGCCAUACCGCGUGGGUGAAGAAGGCCUUCGGGUUGUAAAGCCCUUUUGUUGGGAAAGAAAAGCAGCAGGUUAAUACCCCGCUGUUCUGACGGUACCCAAAGAAUAAGCACCGGCUAACUUCGUG
rnacentral:rRNA from 1 species